rnacentral:rRNA from 1 species
CAGCAGCCACGGUAAUACGGAGGGUGCAAGCGUUAAUCGGAAUUACUGGGCGUAAAGCGUGCGUAGGUGGUGGUUUAAGUCCGUUGUGAAAGCCCUGGGCUCAACCUGGGAAUUGCAGUGGAUACUGGGUCACUAGAGUGUGGUGGAGGAUAGUGGAAUUUCCGGUGUAGCAGUGAAAUGCGUAGAGAUCGGAAGGAACAUCUGUGGCGAAGGCGACUAUCUGGGCCAACACUGACACUGAGGCACGAAAGCGUGGGGAGCAAACAGGAUUAGAUACCCCAGUAGUCCCUGUCUCUUAUAC